AUCCAGCCAGGUAAAGGGUACCAGGAGAUUUCUUAAUAUAGACCUAAUUCUAUUUAAAUUUUAUUUUAGGAGUUAUCUGCUGUAGUUAUGGCUGAUACUGGCUCAGGACCAUCACA